rnacentral:sRNA from 23 species
GGAAUUUUCUUUUUGGAUUCGAAACCUUUCAUGAUCUUAAACAUAACCUCUCAUUCAGAAAUUUUGUCAUGAUUUAAUAAAUCAAUUGGCUUGCUUAACCCUUAUUUAAAAAACAAAUCUUUUUUAAUUGGACACAAAUAAUAUCGGCACAACAUGUUGCAAUAAAAUUAAUGUUUAAAUUUUAUCCUCAAAAACCACUGCUAUG